rnacentral:sRNA from 1 species
GUGCUGAAACUGAGAGCAGCCCCAGUACACUCCCUGCAUGCGAAUCUCCAUCUCAAAGUCAGCCUCCAGGGAGCCCGCCCUGAAACAGAUUCUGUCAUGGAACUCAACAGAGUAUCCCGGUAAGGAUAACCAGUGUUGGGAGUUAGAGCACGGACUCUCUCCACCUGCACAGUGUUGGAGCUCUGCACCCCACCUCUGCAGCCAUCCCUCGCUGCUGUCCCUUAGCUGAUGCCCUUCCUCAUGGCCUGCAGGUUUCAGAUCCCAAGCUACAGAUCAUGUCUUCUAGUUUGGGCUCUGGCAGAGAGUUUGGAAGCACCUGUUUAUUAUCUUAGCAGCAGCAUGUGUGGAAAUCAUUUCUCAUUACAGCGGAGGGCAGGCAUUGUGCAGAGGGUUAAGUGGGCCUGCUUGAAGUUGGUUGUUGUUAGCUCUCAUGUCUAUGCCUUGGUCCCUUUCCCCGCAGGACUUGGAGAGCAAGCUGUUUGAGUCUGAUGCAACCCCUGGGCUUCAACUAUCAUGCCAAAAGGCAGCAAAUAAGUGCCUUUUCUUCCCUUCAGAAUACAUGGACAAGCCAAAGCUCUAUUAGUCUAUUAUUCAGAAUGAAAAGUGUUUACAAUAUUCGUCCUCUUACUCCUCAGUAUGUGAGACUGUUCCUCAUAGCAGGUAAUUUCCAAAUUCAAAAACUCCUCAUGGAAGCAUCUGUUUUUGUCAUCAAGGAGGGGGCUGUAUGUGGAAUUGCAAGGCCAAAGACACCUCGGGUCAACUCUUCUCAGGACCAGAUCCAAGUCGCCAGUGAGAACACACAUUCAGGCAGCCUCCGCCAGCGCCCUGCCUCAGGAGCGAGGCUCCCUGCUUCAUGUGGGCAAGAGUUGCCCCUGUUUUCCCAGCAGGCAGUCGGGGGUCUGGAGCCUAGGAAGCAAAGUGAAGCACACACUCCUGCUUCCUUCCUUCCCUGCAGUUGACACGGGAGUCUUACUUUGUUUCCCAGACUGGUCUCAAACUCCUGGCUUCAAGCACUCCUUCCACUUUGGCCUUCCAAAGUGCUGGGAUUACAGGCAUGAGCCACCAUGCCCAGCCUCCUUCCCUUACUAGCUGAGAACUAAGAGAAGACACUCUGGAGACAGAGGAGGAAACAAUGACGAUGCCACAUGAUGAAUACAUAAUGGAGGGUGAAGACAAGGCUCCGUCAGGGCACCAACAAGGGAAACUUAGUUCUGUGGGGAAGGUAGGGGGUGGCUUCACAAGCCCAGUGUCUUCUCCCUUUGUGGGAGAUGUGUUGUUUCAGCAUCCAUUCCCCCUUCUUUUAGGAAAAGUGCUUGAAUUUCCUUUUCAUGGAACCACCCACCUCCCUCUCAUCCAUGCAUUCUAUUCUUAGCAUCAGGGGUAGACAAGUGACUUCAGGCUUGGCCAAUUAGGGUUCUGACUCUUGGUCAAAUUGGAGUGAAUCCUGAGUCAUUUGUAAACUCCAAGGAAAGGGCUUGCUUUGUUUUCUGCUGAAUGCAGUGCUCUGAGAUAGCCGGAAAUGAAGCUGCUUUCUUGCCACACUGAAGGCUAGAGAAGGGCCUGGCCAGGAAAUGAUGCCAGUGAUCAGGGGUGGAGCUGGAAGAGGGGGAGCAAGGGGGCCCAGACAUCUUGGGAGCCCCGAAUUCACCUCAGGAUUUAACUUCUCCGCUGCUUAGCCAAUAAAUUCCUUUCUUCCAUGACU